GAAUAGGGUAACACUGUUGAGAGUUGGGCAAGACUAGAAAAGUAGCGUUAGUUUCCUCUCGUCCGCUAUUGAAAACAGAUAGAUAGACCUGUCUUCAAUUUUAUCGAUUAUUAACGUUUAAAAAUACCUAAAGUUGUAUUACAAAAGUAUUUUGAAAUGUUUUGGCAAAGUUUGCAGGUAACUUUUGAGAUAUUUUGUAGUGACUUUGUGCAAAACGCUUUGAAAGCUUUGAAGCUGUUUUUUUCUGGAUCAAACACGCCAAAUAAAUUGACAUUUUGGAUAUAUUUAUUUUUAUAGGCAAGUCAGUUAAGUACAAGUUCUUAUUUUCAAUGACGGCCUUGAAACAGUGGGUUAACUGCCUGUUCAGGGGCAGAACAACAGAUUAGUACCUCAGGGAUUUGAACUUGCAACCUUCCGGCUACUAGUCCAAUGCUCUAACCACUAGGCUACCCUGGAUGGAAUUAUUCAAACAAAAGGACCAUUUGUGAUGUUUAUGGGACAUAUUGGAGCGCCAACAAAAAAAGCUUGUCAAAGAUUGGAACACAUUCUUCUACCUGGUGAAAGUUGGUAAUGCACUGCUGUUCCUCCUGUGCACCAUCGUUUCUGUGGUGAAGUUCAGGGAAAACCAAAAUCAAGAUGAUACCAAGGAUGCAUCGAAACUAGAGAGUUGUUUCUGGAGCAAUCAAAGGGUGCAGUUUACCAACAGUUUGCACUAAAUGCAAAGUUACUCAAACAUGCAGCUGCCAUUAGUUUUAAAUGUAUUUUUUCUUUAUCGUAACCUUCAUUCUAAAUUUUUGUAUAUCUUCAAUAUUUAAUUCCCUCUGGGAGUAAGAGCUAUACAUCUUCAUUCUUAGAUCUACGUGCAGUAUGCCAUGCUGUAAAUGUGGGUAUCAGAUUCUAUUCCCAACAACACAUUGUAUUUUUCUAUAUCCAAAAUGUGUCUAAAUACCACACUAUACCAAUAACAAAUACUUGAUGUGUGUACUUAUCUGUACAUUAUGUUUGUUUCAUUUUAUAAUAAUUAUUCUACUCAAAUAUGUAUGUGUUGUGAAAUGAAACUCUUGAAGAAUG